GACGAACGCUGGCGGCGUGCUUAACACAUGCAAGUCGAACGGAAAGGCCCUGCUUUUGUGGGGUGCUCGAGUGGCGAACGGGUGAGUAACACGUGAGUAACCUGCCCUUGACUUUGGGAUAACUUCAGGAAACUGGGGCUAAUACCGGAUAGGAGCUCCUGCUGCAUGGUGGGGGUUGGAAAGUUUCGGCGGUUGGGGAUGGACUCGCGGCUUAUCAGCUUGUUGGUGGGGUAGUGGCUUACCAAGGCUUUGCCGGGUCGGCGGCCUGAGAGGGUGACCGGCCACAUGGGGACUGAGAUACGGCCCAGACUGCUACGGGAGGCAGCAGUGGGGAAUAUUGCACAAUGGGCGGAAGCCUGAUGCAGCAACGCCGCGUGCGGGAUGACGGCCUUCGGGUUGUAAACCGCUUUCGCCUGUGACGAAGCGGGAGUGACGGUAAUGGGUAAAGAAGCACCGGCUAACUACGUG
rnacentral:rRNA from 1 species